CACACCGCCCGUCGCUACUACCGAUUGAAUGGCUCAGUGAGGCCUUCGGACUGGCUCAGGGAGGUCGGCAACGACCACCCAGAGCCGGAAAGUUGGUCAAACUCGGUCAUUUAGAGGAAGUAAAAGUCGUAACAAGGUUUCCGUAGGUGAACCUGCGGAAGGAUCAUUA
rnacentral:rRNA from 14 species